rnacentral:rRNA from 1 species
GAUGAAUGCUGGCGGCGUGCCUAACACACGCAAGUCGAGCGGUAACAGGAGUAGUUUACUACUUGCUGACGAGCGGCGGACGGCUGAGUAACGCGUGGGAACGUGCCCCAAAGUGAGGAAUAACUGCCCGAAAGGGUAGCUAAUACCGCAUAUGAUCUUCGGAUUAAAGGAUUUAUCCGCUUUGGGAGCGGCCCGCGUCGGAUUAGGUAGUUGGUGAGGUAAUGGCUCACCAAGCCCACGAUCCGUAGCUGGUCUGAGAGGAUGAUAAGCCAGACUGGAACUGAGACACGGUCCAGACUCCUACGGGAGGCAGCAGUGAGGAAUCUUCCACAAUGGGCGAAAGCCUGAUGGAGCAACGCCGCGUGCAGGAUGAAGGCCUUCGGGUCGUAAACUGCUUUUAUAAGUGAAGAAUAUGACGGUAGCUUAUGAAUAAGCACCGGCUAACUACGUGCCAGCCGCCGCAUAACAC